CCCGCUCAGAAACUUAAAGGAAUUGACGGGUCCCCGCACAAGCGGCGGAGCAUGCGGCUUAAUUCGAUGCAACCCGAAGAACCUUACCUGGGCUUGACAUCAUGGGAAAAGCCGUAGAGAUACGGUGUGCAUUAGCGUCCAUGACAGGUGGUGCAUGGCUGUCGUCAGCUCGUGUCGUGAGACGUUGGGUUAAGUCCCGCAACGAGCGCAACCCUUGCCCUAUGUUGCCAGCGGUUCGGCCGGGGACUCAUAGGAGACUGCCGGGGACAACUCGGAGGAAGGUGAGGACGACGUCAAGUCAUCAUGCCCCUUAUGUCCAGGGCUGCACGCAUGCUACAAUGGUCGGUACAACGGGCUGCGAUCCCGCGAGGGUGAGCGAAUCCCUUAAAACCGGCCUCAGUUCGGAUUGGAGUCUGCAACUCGACUCCAUGAAGUCGGAGUCGCUAGUAAUCGCGGAUCAGCAUUGCCGCGGUGAAUACGUUCCCGGGCCUU
rnacentral:rRNA from 1 species